UGGGGAAUAUUGCACAAUGGGCGCAAGCCUGAUGCAGCCAUGCCGCGUGUAUGAAGAAGGCCUUCGGGUUGUAAAGUACUUUCAGCGGGGAGGAAGGCGAUAAGGUUAAUAACCUUGUCGAUUGACGUUACCCGCAGAAGAAGCACCGGCUAACUCCGUGCCAGCAGCCGCGGUAAUACGGAGGGUGCAAGCGUUAAUCGGAAUUACUGGGCGUAAAGCGCACGCAGGCGGUCUGUCAAGUCGGAUUUGAAAUCCCCGGGCUCAACCUGGGAACUGCAUUCGAAACUGGCAGGCUAGAGUCUUGUAGAGGGGGGUAGAAUUCCAGGUGGAGCGGUGAAAUGCGUAGAGAUCUGGAGGAAUACCGGUGGCGAAGGCGGCCCCCUGGACAAAGACUGACGCUCAGGUGCGAAAGCGUGGGGAGCAAACA
rnacentral:rRNA from 1 species